GACGAACGCUGGCGGCGUGCCUAAUACAUGCAAGUCGAACGCAGUGGGGACGGGUGAGUAACACGUGGGUAACCUCCCAUCAGAGGGGAUAACACUUGGAAACAGGUGCUAAACCGAUACUGAUGGAUGGACCCGCGGUGCAUUAGCUAGUUGGUGAGGUAACGGCUCACCAAGGCGCCGAUGCAUAGCUGGCCUGAGAGGAUGAUCGGCCACACUGGGACUGAGACACGGCCCAGACUCCUACGGGAGGCAGCAGUGGGGAAUCUUCGGCAAUGGGCGAAAGUCUGACCGAGCCACGCCGCGUGAGUGAAGAAGGUCUUCGGAUCGUAAAGCUCUGUUGGUAGAGAAGCGUUAUCUAACCAAAAAGCCACGGCUAACUCCGUGCCAGCAGCCGCGGUAAUAC
rnacentral:rRNA from 1 species